CUAACAGGGAUUCCCCUAGUAACUGCGAGUGAAGCGGGAAAAGCUCAAAUUUAAAAUCUGGUAGUCUCUGGCUGCCCGAGUUGUAAUCUAGAGAAGUGUUAUCCGCGCUGGACCGUGUAUAAGUCUCCUGGAAUGGAGCGUCAUAGAGGGUGAGAAUCCCGUCUUUGACACGGACUACCGGGGCUUUGUGAUGCGCUCUCRAAGAGUCGAGUUGUUUGGGAAUGCAGCUCUAAAUGGGUGGUAAAUUCCAUCUAAAGCUAAAUAUUGGCGAGAGACCGAUAGCGAACAAGUACCGUGAGGGAAAGAUGAAAAGAACUUUGGAAAGAGAGUUAAACAGUACGUGAAAUUGUUGAAAGGGAAACGCUUGAAGUCAGUCGCGUUGGCUAGGAAUCAGCCUUGCUUUUGCUUGGUGUACUUCCUUGUUGACGGGUCAGCAUCAAUUUUGACCGGUGGAAAAAGGCUAGUGGAAUGUGGCAUCUUCGGAUGUGUUAUAGCUGCUAGUUGUAUACAUCGGUUGGGAUUGAGGAACUCAGCACGCCGCAAGGUCGGGGUUCGCCCACGUUCGUGCUUAGGAUGCUGGCAUAAUGGCUUUAAUCGACCCGUCUUGAAACACGGACCAAGGAGUCUAACAUGCCUGCGAGUGUUUGGGUGGAAAACCCGAGCGCGUAAUGAAAGUGAAAGUUGAGAUCCCUGUCGUGGGGAGCAUCGACGCCCGGACCAGACCUUUUGUGACGGAUCCGCGGUAGAGCAUGUAUGUUGGGACCCGAAAGAUGGUGAACUAUGCCUGAAUAGGGUGAAGCCAGAGGAAACUCUGGUGGAGGCUCGUAGCGAUUCUGACGUGCAAAUCGAUCGUCAAAUUUGGGUAUAGGGGCGAAAGACUAAUCGAACCAUCUAG
rnacentral:rRNA from 1 species